AGGCUUAAGCCCUUUACCCAGAGGUUCAAAUCCUCUCCCUAGCUCCACAUUAAACAUAUGGUAGUUCACUCUGCUCUGACUUACCUCAUCAUAUCAUUAUCCUAUGCUCUAUCCAUCCUCAUCGCCGUAGCAUUUCUUACCCUAGUUGAACGUAAAGUCUUAAGUUAUAUAAAAGCUCGAAAAGGACCCAACAUUGUAGGGCCAUUUGGUCUCCUACAGCCCAUAGCAGAUGGGGUAAAACUAUUUAUCAAAGAACCAAUCCGUCCAUCGACUUCAUCCCCCUAUUUAUUUAUAGCUACUCCUAUCCUAGCCCUUCUCCUAGCAAUUACAAUCUGAGUACCCCUCCCUCUACCCUUUCCCUCUCUGACCUAAACCUGGGAAUACUUUUCCUCCUAGCCCUAUCCAGCCUAGCAGUUUACUCAAUCCUAUGAUCAGGAUGAGCUUCCAACUCAAAAUAUGCCCUAAGUGGCGCCCUCCGAGCAGUCGCACAAACCAUUUCCUACGAAGUCACCCUGGCUAUUAUUCUCCUAUCUGUAAUUAUUCUAAGCGGUAACUACACCCUUAACACCCUUGCUACAACUCAAGAACCCCGUUACCUCAUUUUCUCCUCCUGACCUUUAGCAAUAAUAUGGUACAUCUCCUCACUUGCUGAAACAAAUCGUGCCCCAUUUGACCUCACAGAGGGGGAAUCUGAACUAGUUUCGGGAUUUAAUGUAGAAUAUGCCGCAGGCCCAUUCGCCUUAUUCUUUCUCGCUGAGUAUGCCAAUAUUAUACUAAUAAAUGCACUCACAACCAUUUUAUUCCUAAAUCCUAACUCACUUAACCUCCCUCAAGAGCUCUUCCCUUUGACGCUAGCCACAAAAACCCUUCUCCUUUCCGCAGGCUUCUUAUGAAUCCGAGCCUCCUACCCUCGAUUCCGCUAUGAUCAACUCAUACAUUUACUCUGAAAAAACUUCUUACCCCUAACACUAGCCUUAUGCCUAUGGCACACCAGCCUCCCCAUCUCGUAUGCAGGCUUACCCCCCUACCUAAGGCACCUCAAGGAAAUGUGCCUGAACCUACAAGGGUCACUAUGAUAAAGUGAACAUAGAGGUACACCAAUCCUCUCAUUUCCUAGACUUAGAAAAGUAGGAAUCGAACCUACACUAAAGGAAUCAAAAUCCUCCAUACUCCCUCUAUAUUAUUCUCUAGUAAGGUCAGCUAAUUAAGCUAUCGGGCCCAUACCCCGAAAAUGAUGGUUCAACCCCUUCCCCUACUAAUGAAUCCUCAAGCCAAAUUAAUCUCCACAAUAAGCUUACUCCUGGGGACCUCUAUUACAAUUUCAAGCAACCAUUGAAUAACAGCAUGAGUCGGUUUAGAAAUUAAUACUCUAGCUAUUCUCCCCUUAAUCUCUAAAAACCACCACCCACGAGCCAUUGAAGCCUCUACUAAGUAUUUUCUAACCCAAGCAACCGAAUCCACACUGCUCUUAUUUUCCAGCAUGACCAACGCAUGAUUUUCUGGCCAAUGGGAUAUCACCCAACUAACCCAUCCCAUAUCAUGCAUAUUAUUAACAAUUGCAAUUUCUAUCAAACUAGGCUUAGUCCCAUUCCACUUCUGAUUUCCAGAAGUCCUUCAAGGUUCUUCCAUAACAACAUGCCUCCUACUGGCCACAAUCAUAAAAUUUCCACCAAUUACCUUAUUUUAUCUUACCUCCCCAUCACUUGACUCUACCCGCCUAUCCCUAAUAGCUAUCGCUUCAGCAGCCCUAGGAGGUUGAAUAGGACUUAAUCAGACACAAACUCGUAAAGUCUUGGCUUUCUCAUCCAUCGCUCAUCUUGGAUGAAUAACUAUUAUUCUCAACUAUAACCCCAAUCUGACCUUAAUUACCUUCUAUCUCUACACUAUCACAACUUCCGCUAUCUUCUUCAUGCUUAACACAACCAACACCUUUAAAUUAUCCACCGUGAUAACCACAUGAACUAAGAUCCCCUCAUUAUCUACAAUUUUUAUACUCACCCUCCUCUCCCUCGCAGGUCUCCCUCCUCUGACAGGAUUCCUAACUAAAUGAUUAAUUAUUCAAGAACUGACUAAACAAGAAUUGACUAUAACAGCCACAACUAUUGCCUUACUCUCCUUACUCGGACUUUUCUUCUACCUACGCCUAGCCUACUGUGCAACCAUCA